rnacentral:rRNA from 1 species
UACGUAGGGGGCAAGCGUUGUUCGGAAUUACUGGGCGUAAGGGGCGCGUAGGCGGCACAGCAAGUCGGAAGUGAAAGCCCGGGGCUCAACCCCGGAAUGUCUUUCGAAACUGCUGAGCUAGAGUGCAGAAGAGGCAACUGGAAUUCCCAGUGUAGCGGUGAAAUGCGUAGAUAUUGGGAAGAACACCUGAGGCGAAGGCGGGUUGCUGGGCUGACACUGACGCUGAGGCGCGAAAGCUAGGGGAGCAAACGGG